rnacentral:rRNA from 1 species
AACGCGAAGAACCUUACCUGGGUUUGACAUCUGCCGGAAGCAUCCAGAGAUGGGUGUGCUCUUUUUGGUCGGUUGACAGGUGGUGCAGGGCUGUUCUCAGCUCGUGUCGUGAGAUGUUGGGUUAAGUCCCACACCACCGCACCCCUCUCCUAUGUUUCCAACGGGUGAUGCCGGGAACUCAUGGGAGACCGCCAGGGUCAACUCGGAGGAAGGGGGGGAUGACGUCAGUCAUCAUCCCCUUAUGUCCAGGGCUUCACACAUGCUACAAUGGCUGGUACAAGGGGUGCGAUCCCGUGAGGGGGAGCGAAUCCCCCAAAACCAGUCUCAGUUCGGAUUGGGGUCUGCAACUCGACCCCAUGAAAUCGGAGUCGCUAGUAAUCGCAGAUCACCCAUUGCUGCGGUGAAUACGUUCCCGGGUCUUGUACACACCG